rnacentral:rRNA from 1 species
AACGAACGUUAGCGGCGCGCCUAACACAUGCAAGUCGUGCGAGAAAGGGCUUCGGCCCCAGUAAAGCGGCGCACGGGUGAGUAACACGUAGGUAAUCUGCCCUCUGGUGGUGGAUAACCUUCCGAAAGGAAGGCUAAUACAGCAUAAGACCACGGUUUCGCAAGAGACUGGGUAAAAGCGGGCCUCUUCAUGAAAGCUCGCUCCAGGGGAUGAGCCUGUGGCCCAUCAGCUAGUUGGUAGGGUAAUGGCCUACCAAGGCGAAGACGGGUAGCUGGUCUGAGAGGAUGAUCAGCCACACUGGAACUGAGACACGGUCCAGACUCCUACGGGAGGCAGCAGUGGGGAAGUCUUGCGCAAUGGGCGAAAGCCUGACGCAGCGACGCCGCGUGAGUGAUGAAGGCCU